GACGAACGCUGGCGGCGUGCUUAACACAUGCAAGUCGAACGGAAAGGCCCUGCUUUUGUGGGGUGCUCGAGUGGCGAACGGGUGAGUAACACGUGAGUAACCUGCCCUUGACUUUGGGAUAACUUCAGGAAACUGGGGCUAAUACCGGAUAGGAGCUCCUGCUGCAUGGUGGGGGUUGGAAAGUUUCGGCGGUGGGGGAUGGACUCGCGGCUUAUCAGCUUGUUGGUGGGGUAGUGGCUUACCAAGGCUUUGACGGGUAGCCGGCCUGAGAGGGUGACCGGCCACAUUGGGACUGAGAUACGGCCCAGACUCCUACGGGAGGCAGCAGUGGGGAAUAUUGCACAAUGGGCGGAAGCCUGAGGCAGCAACGCCGCGUGCGGGAUGACGGCCUUCGGGUUGUAAACCGCUUUCGCCUGUGACGAAGCGUGAGUGACGGUAAUGGGUAAAGAAGCACCGGCUAACUACGUG
rnacentral:rRNA from 1 species